rnacentral:rRNA from 1 species
AGUGAACGCUGGCGGUAGGCCUAACACAUGCAAGUCGAACGGCAGCACAGUAAGAGCUUGCUCUUACGGGUGGCGAGUGGCGGACGGGUGAGGAAUACAUCGGAAUCUACUUUUUCGUGGGGGAUAACGUAGGGAAACUUACGCUAAUACCGCAUACGACCUACGGGUGAAAGCAGGGGAUCUUCGGACCUUGCGCGAUUGAAUGAGCCGAUGUCGGAUUAGCUAGUUGGCGGGGUAAGGCCCACCAAGGCGACGAUCCGUAGCUGGUCUGAGAGGAUGAUCAGCCACACUGGAACUGGGACACGGUCCAGACUCCUACGGGAGGCAGCAGUGGGGAAUAUUGGACAAUGGGCGCAAGCCUGAUCCAGCCAUACCGCGUGGGUGAAGAAGGCCUUCGGGUUGUAAAGCCCUUUUGUUGGGAAAGAAAAGCAGCAGGUUAAUACCCCGCUGUUCUGACGGUACCCAAAGAAUAAGCACCGGCUAACUUCGUG